UUAAAANUUCGGGGCUUAACCCCGUGAUGGGAUGGAAACUGCUGAUCUAGAGUNUCGGAGAGGAAAGUGGAAUUCCUAGUGUAGCGGUGAAAUGCGUAGAUAUUAGGAAGAACACCAGUGGCGAAGGGGACUUUCUGGACGAAAACUGACGCUGAGGCGCGAAAGCCAGGGGAGCGAACGGGAUUAGAUGCCCCGGUAGUCCUGGCCGUAAACGAUGGGUACUAGGUGUAGGAGGUAUCGACCCCUUCUGUGCCGGAGUUAACGCAAUAAGUACCCCGCCUGGGGAGUACGACCGCAAGGUUGAAACUCAAAGGAAUUGACGGGGGCCCGCACAAGCGGUGGAGUAUGUGGUUUAAUUCGACGCAACGCGAAGAACCUUACCAGGUCUUGACAUUGAUGGACAGAACCAGAGAUGGUUCCUCUUCUUCGGAAGCCAGAAAACAGGUGGUGCAUGGUUGUCGUCAGCUCGUGUCGUGAGAUGUUGGGUUAAGUCCCGCAACGAGCGCAACCCCUAUCUUAUGUUGCCAGCACUUUGGGUGGGGACUCAUGAGAGACUGCCGCAGACAGUGCGGAGGAAGGCGGGGAUGACGUCAAAUCAUCAUGCCCCUUAUGACCUGGGCUACACACGUACUACAAUGGGAGUUAAUAGACGGAAGCGAGAUCGCGAGAUGGAGCAAACCCGAGAAACACUCUCUCAGUUCGGAUCGUAGGCUGCAACUCG
rnacentral:rRNA from 1 species